UUACGGUUAUAUCACUUUGAAACCCCAGUUCUCGUUCGAUCACCGAAGUUAAGCAACGUCGAGCCUGGUCAGUAUCUAGACGGAUGACUGCUUGGAAAUACCAAGAGCU